UUCAGCCCGGACAGACCCCACCCACACCCCAAAAAUACCCCAAGCUGGCACUACUGGGAAUGUCGGCACUGUGCAUUUGUGGAGAGGUUCAGACAGCAAUUCCUGGUGCCGACCUGGAGCUCCCACACACCCCCAGGUAUGACCCACCCACCCCAAAUCCCUUCCAGCCCAGGGACACCAUCCAUCAGCAGCAUUAAAGCCAAGGGAACCUUCCCUCAUACAGAAAUUAAACUCCGAGCAAUAACCCUCAGAGAUGCCUUAAAAUAAAAGGUUAGAGUGGGAUGAAGUUUUGUUUGGAUUAAACUUGGAAUUUUUGAGGGAGACAGCUGGAACUACAGAACUGAUGGAGAGCUUUCACAGGAGGGUACCACUGGAGGUGUGCUGAAAGCAGGGAUGUGCAUGUUUCCUCAGGGUAAAGAACUUCCAGAGGCCACUCCAGAGGUUCUGAAAUGAACUCAGCUUCUUCAGAGAGAGAUGACCUCCCCUGGGCCCAGGAGCUGCCUCAGCACUGGCCAGGAGUGUGUGCGGCCACCACUGUCUCCUGCUUUAAAAUAUCGACUGGAGCCUGACCUCAGGGGGAUGAAACUGGCUGAAUUCCAGGGGACUCUGUCAAGUGUCCCCCAGGGACAUCGGUGGGGCUGGGGAAUGAGUGAUAUAAGUAGCAAAUUCUAUGGAUUAUAAACCUGUCUUUGUCCUGAUCCCACUGAGCUUCCCUGGAAACUCUGCUGGUUCCUGACACAGCUGGUGUUAAAGUGGCAGCUCUGCAUAGGAAUAUGCACAUUCCAUGAGGCACUGUCAGGUUAUUCCAGCAGGAAAUGUGGGGCUACAGGUAUAAUUCAUCUGAACUAGCAAAGCUGAUACUGAACCCCAGAUCUGGGCAUCACACAGAGAACAAUCUUUGUGCUGUCCUGUCAGGUAAAGGCUGGGAAAUUUCAGCAGCCAAGUGUAUGGAAAGAUCUAAAUCCCAGCCCCCAGCAUCCCCCAGAGGGGGACAAUUCAAGUCCAAGGGUGGGAGCUGGUGUCCUUUCCCUGCUGCUGGUGGGACAAAUUCCCUCUACACAGUUGACCCUGGCUGGGUGUGAGCUGAGAGCAGGAGAGGAGGGAGGGUGGAUCGGCUGCCCAGGAAUCUCUGGGAGACGAGGCUGCUGGAAUCCCAGCUGAAACAUUCUUUCCUUGCAGAAGACAGGAGCCAAAGCAGAUCCCUCCUGGCCAGGCUGUGGGCAGCAGCUGGAUCUGCUCUGGGGGAAAACACCCUGCCCCUGCCAGGAGCUCUGACUGCUUUUCCUCCCAGCUCCUGAGCAGUGUAGGGCCACUGUGAGGGAGUUCAAAUCCAAAUAAACCCCACAGCCCACGGAGUGAGUAAUCCCAACAGAGAAAUGCAGUGUUGUCAUAAAAAGCUUAAAGAUCUGUUAAAAAGGCUAUGACAACGCAGUAAUGGGAUUCCCAUGAGCUUUCUUAGUAUUCUUGGUUCCAUUUUUAUGUAUUUUUAAUCCCUCAAUGGGCAGCUUAUAGAAUUUAUUCUGGGACCUAGAGGUUGAGCAGGGCUGGCUUUGGACUGACCUUCACCUCUGGUCCCACUUUGCACAAACACAACUUGGGCUGAGCUGGGUGAUCACCUCAGCUUUUCCCUCCAGAAUAUCCCCUACUUCUUUCCCUGCAGAUGAACUUGGAUUUUGCCCCAAACUGUCCCCAAACUCACCUCCACUUGCCCUCCCGGUGUCCAUUCUGUUCCCCACAGGUGCCCUGGUGACACCAGGGAGGUGCCCACAGUGCCUUUCUCUCCAGCCAGAGGCCACUCUGCUGGCUCUCUUCAGUCUGGUCCCACACAGUGGGGCACAAAAGGGGAAAGGUUUGAGAACACAUCAGCACGUUUCUGUGUUUCAACAAAUCUCUCAUCAAAUUAUCUUUGUGUCACUUUCCAUGUGAGGUUUAUGUGUCAAAAAUCCAUGUUUUCCUAUUCAGACUAAUUUUGAAGUUUUUCAGGAAAUCAUGAUCUCACAGGACUAACACCUCUCAACACCAAUUGCUGCUUCUCUCUCUGCCAGGGCACCAGCAAGAAGUUCUGGGUCAGUUCUUGUUCCAUGCUUGCCAGUGACCUCAAGAGAAAAAGGGAUCGCUGCACUCACUCCAGGGUACUUGUCAGGAAAAAAGGAGCAAGUGGAGACUUUAUGGCUUCCCUGGGAUCUUUUCUCCUUCAACCAUUGCGGGCAGUGACCGGGAAAUGCUCUCUGGGAACCCAGUGUGAGGAGCACGGGUGGACUGCUGACAGGGGUCAGCUUAUCAAGAAUUUGCUUCCUUGACUGUGUUUUAAACCCAGAACCAAAGUUCCCCCUGCACAGCUCCCAAAACAGUAACAACCUGUCACUUUCGAUGUUUGUAGGAUCUAGUUUGCUGUAGGGCUUUUGGGGGUGGGGUGGGGAGAGUUUCAUGUUUUGAAGAAACACUGAAGGGCUUUCCUGUCCUGCCCAGGUACAAUUUGCUGUCAGCCUGGGCAUCCCACUUCAAGGCUUCCUUCAGCAACGCUAACAAAACCUUCUGGGUGUCCGUGUCCAUGCUGGUCCUGCUGGCUGCUCUCACGAGCUUCCUGAUGGGGCUGUCCCUGCAGAGGCCAGCAGAUGCAGCCCCUGUGGGCACUGGGGACUCCUGGACACUGGUGCAGCAGCUGCUGUGGCCCUACACAGGACUGCAACACAACGGCCCUCCCCCGGUAUAACCCCGGCUCUGCUGCCGGAGCUGCGCUGCCACGCUCUGCCGGACAGGAGCUGAGGCUGCCCUUGAUUUAAGGUUACGUGUCUGGGUUUCUUUUGUUGGGUUGGGGGUAUUUUUGGGGAGGAGAUUUAUUUUUUUAUUUUAAAGCAUGAAUUGAAUUUUUUUUUUAAAAAAGGUGUUUUUUUCGCCAUUCUGGCAGAAGUUAUCUUUAAAAGUAGCUAAAAGGGUCUCAGUUCUGUAGAGUUUACAAUAGAACAGCAAUUUUUAACAUUGUUAACAAUAAACACGUCUAGGUGGUCUAGCCACAAGAGAAUAAAGAAUUUAUUUUGCUUGAACAAAGAUAAAAUGUUUGCAUUUUAGAACCUGUUUCAGUGAUUUGAACAGAAAAGGAUUUAAGACUUGAAAUGUAACUUUUUUGAAAGCUUUUGAUAAUAAAGUUUUGAAGGAAA